GUGGCCUGGCCAGCCACCUAUAAAAAGGGGCACUUAGCCGAAAUGGGAGAGUUUUUCUCCCAUUUUCAGCCACAGCAAGCUUCCGACCUCCCUCUCCCAAAUCUUGUGUUUUUCCUUCAAUCCCCACCAUUUUCUUUGAGUUUUAAGGUUCCACAAAAGUUUUUGAGUGUUUUUAAGCAAGUUUGGAGCUUGGAAGUCUUGGAGCUAAAUCCCUCCAUUUUCCGAGCUAGGGUCGUUCUUCCUCUCGAUCUUCAAGAGGUAAGCUUCGAUCUAUGCUUCUUUUAUGUUUUAUGAAAGUUUUAUGCAAGUUGAUGGGGUAGAAUGCAUGUUUAGGCUUAUUGUUAUGGGUUUAUGUUGUGAUUUGAACAAUGUAUGUUGGAAAUGUGUUGUUUGAAGUGUUGUAGUUGGGGUAUAUUAUAGUUUGAGACCCCUAGGUGUGAUGUAUGAUGUGUAUGCAUGUGUAGAAACAAGUUUAUGCAUGUUUUGAGGCGUUUUGGAGGCUGUGGACACAAGGGAGCCAAGUUUCUGCCCUUCGGCAGAAACUCAGGUUCGGCCGCCGAAGUGACUUUCGGCCGCCGAACCCCCUUGUGGAGGCAGUUUUGGCUGCCGAAGCCUGCCCCCGAAACUCAAGUUUCGUCUCUGUCUGGGAGGUUCGGCCGCCGAAAGUGCCGCCGAACCUGCAUGACUUUCGGCUGCAGAGGGACUUUCGGCCGCCGAACCUGCCGCCGAAAGUGCUCUGUUCAGCCAUUUCUUGCAUGUUUUCAUGUGAUGUUUUCAGGAUGUUUAGGGGGUUUUUGGGGAGUAUUUUAGAGUCAUAUUCAUGUAUGUUUGGUCCCUCAUUUGAGUCCACCUGUGUAGGUUCGGACCCGAGGAACCGAGACCCCCAGCAGUGAGCCAGCUGCUUCAGAGUCUCUUCAGAGCUAGCCAGAGGUGAGUGGAAUAAACUUUAAGUUUUAAAGCAAAUUAAUGAAAUGUUUUAGCAUGAUUCACGCAUCAUGAAUGCCAUGAGAUAUAUUAGGUUGUUUGCAUUAGAAUUCACGAAUAUGUUGCAUUGCAUACUUUGUUGUUGAUGUGGAUGAAUGUUGAAUGAUCCAUUAGCCCUUGUAUGUCAUGAUAGCCUAUGUGAGUCCAGGUGUGCCUGCUACGGCUCUACGCCCCUGGCACUAUGACAGAUUAUGGAAGUCCGGGUGUGCCUGCUACGGCUCUACGCCCCCGGCAUGUAUAAGUAAGAAAGAUAAGGGCUAAAUGGUGACAAGUUCAUCCUUGUUGUGAAAUGUUUGUGUUAUGGCGCAUACAUGAAAGCAUGAUUUAAAUUGAUGUUUUAUUAUUCUGCUCACUGGGCUCUAGUAGCUCACCCCACUCCCUUUAUCCCCAGAGUUGCAGGUACAGGAUAGAUCAGGAAGUCGGCUAGAGUGAAGUUAAGUCAUGUAUGUUGUAAUAGAUAGUAGUGGACAUGAACAUGAUGUAAUGAGUAUUUAUGACCAUGUAAUGUAAUGAAUGAUUUGAUGAUGUAUUGAGGAUUAUAGUAGUGCUUGACCUAGAGGUGUGUGAAUCCCCAUUAUGUACAGAGUGUUUAAUGAGUAAUGAUGCUAAUGACCAUGAUUAUCCAAGCUGAUAUGUAUGAUGAU
rnacentral:lncRNA from 1 species